GACGAACGCUGGCGGCGUGCUUAACACAUGCAAGUCGAACGGUAAGGCCCUUCGGGGUACACGAGUGGCGAACGGGUGAGUAACACGUGGGUGAUCUGCCCUGCACUUCGGGAUAAGCCUGGGAAACUGGGUCUAAUACCGGAUAGGACCACUGCCUGCAUGGGUGGUGGUGGAAAGCUUUUGCGGUGUGGGAUGGGCCCGCGGCCUAUCAGCUGGUUGGUGGGGUGAUGGCCUACCAAGGCGACGACGGGUAGCUGGCCUGCGAGGGUGAACGGCCACACUGGGACUGAGAUACGGGCCAGACUCCUACGGGAGGCAGCAGUGGGGAAUAUUGCACAAUGGGCGCAAGCCUGAUGCAGCGACGCCGCGUGAGGGAUGACGGCCUUCGGGUUGUAAACCUCUUUCAGCACCGACGAAGCGCAAGUGACGGUAGGUGCAGAAGAAGGACCGGCCAACUACGUGCCAGCAGCCGCAGUAA
rnacentral:rRNA from 1 species